rnacentral:rRNA from 1 species
AACGAACGCUGGCGGCAGGCUUAACACAUGCAAGUCGAACGCCCCGCAAGGGGAGUGGCAGACGGGUGAGUAACGCGUGGGAAUCUACCCAGUUCUACGGAAUAAACCAGGGAAACUUGGACUAAUACCGUAUACGCCCUACGGGGGAAAGAUUUAUCGGAAUUGGAUGAGCCCGCGUUGGAUUAGCUAGUUGGUGGGGAAGAGGCCUAACAGGGCGACGAUCCAUAGCUGGUCUGAGAGGAGGAUCAGCCACACUGGGACUGAGACACGGCCCAGACUCCUACGGGAGGCAGCAGUGGGGAAUAUUGGACAAUGGGCGCAAGCGUGAUCCAGCCAUGCCGCGGGAGUGAUAAAGGCCUUAGGGUUGUAAAGCUCUUUCAGUGGGGACGAUAAUGACGGUACCCACAGAAGAAGCCCCGGCUAACUUCGUGCCAGCCGCCGCGGUAAUAC